GUGCUUGCUUUGGCAGCACAUGCACUAAAACUGCAACAAUAAAGAGAAAAUUAACAUGACCCCUGUGCAAGAACGACAUGCAAAUUCACGGACCAUUCCAUUUUUUU